CCAAACUUGGUCAUUUAGAGGAAGUAAAAGUCGUAACAAGGUUUCCGUAGGUGAACCUGCGGAAGGAUCAUUAACGCAUCUCUGGCGGGUUUCCGACGCGCCCUGCUCCGGCCGCAAAGCCGUGCAGCGGGCGUCCGGUUUCCCGUCCAACCUUCACAAACCCACUGUGCACGUUCACGGCAGAGGGCCCUCGGGGCGAGAGCUCUGGAGGUUUGAAGCCGCGUCACCAAACUCUUGUAAAUGAAUGUACUGCGGCCUCUGCGUCGCCUAAAAACGAAACAACUUUCAACAACGGAUCUCUUGGCUCUCGCAUCGAUGAAGAACGCAGC
rnacentral:misc_RNA from 1 species